UGGCACGCUGACCAAGUCUUCUGGAACGGAGCGCCAUGGAGGGUGACAGCCCCGUAGCAGCAGCCACUGUAAAUCCGGGUCGACGAGUCGAGUUGUUUGGGAAUGCAGCUCUAAGUGGGUGGUAUGCUCCAUCUAAAGCUAAAUAUUGGCGAGAGACCGAUAGCGAACAAGUACUGUGAAGGAAAGAUGAAAAGAACUUUGAAAAGAGAGUGAAAAAGUACGUGAAAUUGUUGAAAUGGAAGGCAAUGAGGUGCGAUUGAACCGGACGUUUGCGGGCAGGACAAAAGCGCAGGCCGCCUCGGCAUUGCCUGCGUGCAUACUGCCUCGCGGACUACCAGUUCUAACAACGCCUUAUUGCACCCGUCUUG
rnacentral:rRNA from 1 species